CAGUAGCCACGGGAAUACGUAGGGUGCGAGCGUUAAUCGGAAUUACUGGGCGUAAAGCGUGCGCAGGCGGUUUUGUAAGACAGGCGUGAAAUCCCCGGGCUCAACCUGGGAAUGGCGCUUGUGACUGCAAAGCUAGAGUGCGGCAGAGGGGGAUGGAAUUCCGCGUGUAGCAGUGAAAUGCGUAGAUAUGCGGAGGAACACCGAUGGCGAAGGCAAUCCCCUGGGCCUGCACUGACGCUCAUGCACGAAAGCGUGGGGAGCAAACAGGAUUAGAGACCCCUGUAGUCCCUGUCUCUUAUAC
rnacentral:rRNA from 1 species